CCGCCAUUGUAAUCCGGAGUUUUGCGGACAUAAUGCAAUUUUGAAAGAGAUUUCUUGAUUCAAACACUUACUGUCUGUCGCCUGUUCGUUGGCAGGUCAUUUUGCGUGAUUUUAUGUCAUGCUGAUAAGGAGGUCCAAAAUCAACGCAUGCAGGUCAUUGGUUUCAAUUUAGUCAUCCUGGAGAAUCAACACCACAUUUCCCAAUCGCGAGGGUAUGGUUCAAGGUACUUUAACAUUUAGAACCAUCAUAUUGUUAUUUUGAUCUAAACUUUUAGCAUUUUCUUUGGGUUAGCGAGGUGACCUCGGGAAUAGCGAUGACUUUCAUUGUACCGAGAACCAAAAUGCCCUCGAAAAUUGUGUAGCUGAUUCUUCAGGCGGAAGUGCAUUUACCAAUUAUGGACACUCAGCAGACAGAAGAUGGAAUGACUCAGUUUGAGAGAAUGUUUUUGACGACGAAAAGUUGUGCAGUUACAUAGUAGGGAAGGGAUCGUGGCUUUCUUGCUGCUGUCUUAAGUCUUGCAAGUCGGCGGAUUAAAGUUGAGGCUUGAACGGAUGUAUUGCGGCCAAUGGACUGUUAAACUGUGCCAAAAUUGGACUUGGAUCAACAAAACUAUCAGGCCUUUCAUUCUAGGUAGGAGUCAAUACGAAAUGACAAGUUUAUCGAACUGGUUUGUUUUACUCGUGCUUUGCCAUAGUGGACUAGGAAAUGAGAAGUGUACAGAUAUCAGAUACAUUGGGGGUGACCUUGUAAAGGAAAAUGAAAGACACCGUACUGCUCUACGGGUGUUCCUCGGUCCAUCCUACACCAUCAGUGCUGAUGGGAAUGUAAUAGGAUGGCAGUUUAUGAAUAUGCGCGCCAGCAAGUUUUACCUGGACAUUUGGGAAAAAGUGACAGUGUUCAGGUACAAAUUAAUUAGCAAGACGGAAUCUUCAAACGCUCCAGUUGGGCUGAACACCAUGCACCUUAGCACACCAAUAGCGGUCAAGAAAGGACAGUACCUCGGUUUACAUGUACCUACUGGAUUUUCGGGAGGUGUGUCAAGGAGAAGUAAGGAUAAGAGGUCGGAUUACCAAUUCUUUGGAGAGCCCGGAUAUUAUGAUGAGAUGUUGGUGGGCAACGGAAACGUGUUCGAGGGAAAUUCAACAAACUACAAAAAAUACGGUGGAAUGUACGCAUUCAAAGCUUUACUCUUUGUUCAAAACACUGAUACGUCGUGCUACUGGUUGUUCACCAAAAACUCGGCCUUAGACGUCUCGAAGGUGGCCGUCAUCUCGACACAGACGACCGAUGGUGUGCUCUCGUGUGCCCGGAUGUGUAGUCAUAAUAAACAGUGUAUGACCUUCAAGUUUAAGACGAGUACGAAGGAGUGUUCGAUGUAUCCUAGUGUCUUUGAUACACUCCUGUCGCCGGGACUUGAUGACAUUU